UGACACAUAAUUUAUAAAGAAUAAUUAUCUUGCAAAUAAUAAGAAUGUGUCUU
rnacentral:tRNA from 1 species